GAUGAACGCUGGCGGCGUGCCUAAUACAUGCAAGUCGAGCGAACAGACGAGGAGCUUGCUCCUCUGACGUUAGCGGCGGAAGGGUGAGUAACACGUGGAUAACCUACCUAUAAGACUGGGAUAACUUCGGGAAACCGGAGCUAAUACCGGAUAAUAUAUUGAAUCGCAUGGUUCAAUAGUGAAAGACGGUUUUGCUGUCACUUAUAGAUGGAUCCGCGCCGCAUUAGCUAGUGGGUAAGGUAACGGCUUACCAAGGCAACGAUGCGUAGCCGACCUGAGAGGGUGAUCGGCCACACGGGAACUGAGAGACGGUCCAGACUCCUACGGGAGGCAGCGGUAGGGAAUCUUCGGCGAUGGGCGAAAGCCUGACGGAGAAACGCCGCGUGAGUGCUGAAGGUCUGCGGAUCGUAAGACUCUGUUAUUAGGGAAGAACAAAUGUGUAAGUGACGAUGCACGUCUUGACGGUACCUAAUCAGAAAGCCACGGCUAACUACGUG
rnacentral:rRNA from 1 species